CCCUUUGGGGUGUGACUGCGUACCUUUUGUAUAAUGGGUCAGCGACUUAUAUUCUGUAGCAAGGUUAACCGAAUAGGGGAGCCGGAGGGAAACCGAGUCUUAAUUGGGCGUUAAGUUGCAGGGUAUAGACCCGAAACCCGGUGAUCUAGCCAUGGGCAGGUUGAAGGUUGGGUAACACUAACUGGAGGACCGAACCGACUAAUGUUGAAAAAUUAGCGGAUGACCUGUGGCUGGGGGUGAAAGGCCAAUCAAACCGGGAGAUAGCUGGUUCUCCCCGAAAGCUAUUUAGGUAGCGCCUCGUGAAUUCAUCUCCGGGGGUAGAGCACUGUUUCGGCUAGGGGGCCAUCCCGGCUUACCAACCCGAUGCAAACUGCGAAUACCGGAGAAUGUUAUCACGGGAGACACACGGCGGGUGCUAACGUCCGUCGUGAAGAGGGAAACAACCCAGACCGCCAGCUAAGGUCCCAAAGUCAUGGUUAAGUGGGAAACGAUGUGGGAAGGCCCAGACAGCCAGGAUGUUGGCUUAGAAGCAGCCAUCAUUUAAAGAAAGCGUAAUAGCUCACUGGUCGAGUCGGCCUGCGCGGAAGAUGUAACGGGGCUAAACCAU
rnacentral:rRNA from 3 species